UAGUGGCGAACGGGUGAGUAACACGUGGGCAAUCUGCCCUUCACUCUGGGACAAGCCCUGGAAACGGGGUCUAAUACCGGAUAACACUCUGUCCCGCAUGGGACGGGGUUGAAAGCUCCGGCGGUGAAGGAUGAGCCCGCGGCCUAUCAGCUUGUUGGUGGGGUGAUGGCCUACCAAGGCGACGACGGGUAGCCGGCCUGAGAGGGCGACCGGCCACACUGGGACUGAGACACGGCCCAGACUCCUACGGGAGGCAGCAGUGGGGAAUAUUGCACAAUGGGCGAAAGCCUGAUGCAGCGACGCCGCGUGAGGGAUGACGGCCUUCGGGUUGUAAACCUCUUUCAGCAGGGAAGAAGCGAGAGUGACGGUACCUGCAGAAGAAGCGCCGGCUAACUACGUGCCAGCAGCCGCGGUAAUACGUAGGGCGCAAGCGUUGUCCGGAAUUAUUGGGCGUAAAGAGCUCGUAGGCGGCUUGUUGCGUCGGUUGUGAAAGCCCGGGGCUUAACCCC
rnacentral:rRNA from 1 species